GAAAUGCGAUACCUGGUGUGAAUUGCAGAAUCCCGCGAACCAUCGAGUCUUUGAACGCAAGUUGCGCCCGAGGCCAUUCGGCCAAGGGCACGCCUGCCUGGGCGUCACGCCAAACACGCUCCCACCCCCUCAUCGGGGAUCGGGAUGCGGCAUGUGGCCCCCCGUCACGCAAGCGACGGUGGGCCGAAGAUGUGGCUGCCGGUGUUUCGUGCCAGACACAGCGCGUGGUGGGCGAUCUCGCUUUACUUACCGCAGUGCAUUCGGCGCGUAGCCGACGUGAUGGCCCCAAACGACCCUAUAUAAACGGAGCGCACGACGCUCCGACCGCGACCCCAGGUCAGACGGGACUACCCGCUGAGUUUAA
rnacentral:rRNA from 1 species